GACGAACGCUGGCGGCGUGCUUAACACAUGCAAGUCGAACGGAAAGGCCCUGCUUUUGUGGGGUGCUCGAGUGGCGAACGGGUGAGUAACACGUGAGUAACCUGCCCUUGACUUUGGGAUAACUUCAGGAAACUGGGGCUAAUACCGGAUAGGAGCCCCUGCUGCAUGGUGGGGGUUGGAAAGUUUCGGCGGUUGGGGAUGGACUCGCGGCUUAUCAGCUUGUUGGUGGGGUAGUGGCUUACCAAGGCUUUGACGGGUAGCCGGCCUGAGAAGGUGACCGGCCACAUUGGGACUGAGAUACGGCCCAGACUCCUACGGGAGGCAGCAGUGGGGAAUAUUGCACAAUGGGCGGAAGCCUGAUGCAGCAACGCCGCGUGCGGGAUGACGGCCUUCGGGUUGUAAACCGCUUUCGCCUGUGACGAAGCGUGAGUGACGGUAAUGGGUAAAGAAGCACCGGCUAACUACGUG
rnacentral:rRNA from 1 species